rnacentral:rRNA from 1 species
UACGUAGGGUGCGAGCGUUAAUCGGAAUUACUGGGCGUAAAGCGUGCGCAGGCGGUUUAGUAAGACAGGCGUGAAAUCCCCGGGCUCAACCUGGGAACUGCGCUUGUGACUGCUAGCUAGAGUACGGCAGAGGGGGGUGGAAGUUCCACGUGUAGCAGUGAAAUGCGUAGAGAUGUGGAGGAACACCGAUGGCGAAGGCAGCCCCCUGGGCCGAUACUGACGCUCAUGCACGAAAGCGUGGGGAGCAAACAGG